AGAGUUUGCUCUCUGGCUCAGGAUGAACGCCGGCGGUGUGCCUAAUACAUGCAAGUCGUACGCACUGGCCCAACUGAUUGAUGGUCCUUGCACCUGAUUGACGAUGGAUCACCAGUGAGUGGCGGACGGGUGAGUAACACGUAGGUGACCUGCCUCGGAGCGGGGGAUAACAUUUGGAAACAGAUGCUAAUACCGCAUAACAACAAAAGCCCACAUGGCUUUUGUUUGAAAGAUGGCUUUGGCUAUCACUCUGGGAUGGACCUGCGGUGCAUUAGCUAGUUGGUAAGGUAACGGCUUACCAAGGCAAUGAUGCAUAGCCGAGUUGAGAGACUGAUCGGCCACAAUGGAACUGAGACACGGUCCAUACUCCUACGGGAGGCAGCAGUAGGGAAUCUUCCACAAUGGGCGCAAGCCUGAUGGAGCAACACCGCGUGAGUGAAGAAGGGUUUCGGCUCGUAAAGCUCUGUUGUUGGAGAAGAACGUGCGUGAGAGUAACUGUUCACGCAGUGACGGUAUCCAACCAGAAAGUCACGGCUAACUACGUGCCAGCAGCCGCGGUAAUACGUAGGUGGCAAGCGUUAUCCGGAUUUAUUGGGCGUAAAGCGAGCGCAGGCGGUUGCUCAGGUCUGAUGUGAAAGCCUUCGGCUUAACCGAAGAAGUGCAUCGGAAACCGGGCGACUUGAGUGCAGAAGAGGACAGUGGAACUCCAUGUGUAGCGGUGGAAUGCGUAGAUAUAUGGAAGAACACCAGUGGCGAAGGCGGCUGUCUGGUCUGCAACUGACGCUGAGGCUCGAAAGCAUGGGUAGCGAACAGGAUUAGAUACCCUGGUAGUCCAUGCCGUAAACGAUG
rnacentral:rRNA from 1 species